GAUGAACGCUAGCGGGAGGCCUAACACAUGCAAGCCGAGCGGUAUUUCUUCUUCGGAAGAGAGAGAGCGGCGUACGGGUGCGGAACACGUGUGCAACCUGCCUUUAUCUAGAGGAUAGCCUUUCGAAAGGAAGAUUAAUACUCUAUAAUAUAUUAAUUGGCAUCAAUUGAUAUUGAAAACUCCGGUGGAUAGAGAUGAGCACGCGCAAGAUUAGCUAGUUGGUGAGGUAACGGCUCACCAAGGCAAUGAUCUUUAGGGGGCCUGAGAGGGUGAUCCCCCACACUGGUACUGAGACACGGGCCAGACUCCUACGGGAGGCAGCAGUGAGGAAUAUUGGUCAAUGGGUGCAAGCCUGAACCAGCCAUCCCGCGUGAAGGAUUAAGGUCCUAUGGAUUGUAAACUUCUUUUGUAUAGGGAUAAACCUACCCUCGUGAGGGUAGCUGAAGGUACUAUACGAAUAAGCACCGGCUAACUCCGUGCCAGCCGCCGCUGUAAUAC
rnacentral:rRNA from 1 species